rnacentral:rRNA from 1 species
UGAGGAAUAUGGGUCAAUGGGCGAGAGCCUGAACCAGCCAAGUAGCGUGCAGGAUGACGGCCCUAUGGGUUGUAAACUGCUUUUAUGUGGGGAUAAAGUGCGUGACGUGUCAUGCAUUGCAGGUACCACAUGAAUAAGGACCGGCUAAUUCCGUGCCAGCAGCCGCGGUAAUACGGAAGGUCCGGGCGUUAUCCGGAUUUAUUGGGUUUAAAGGGAGCGUAGGCUGUCUAUUAAGCGUGUUGUGAAAUUUACCGGCUCAACCGGUGGCUUGCAGCGCGAACUGGUCGACUUGAGUAUGCAGGAAGUAGGCGGAAUUCAUGGUGUAGCGGUGAAAUGCUUAGAUAUCAUGACGAACUCCGAUUGCGCAGGCAGCUUACUGUAGCAUAACUGACGCUGAUGCUCGAAAGUGCGGGUAUCAAACAGG